GACGUAGGACGCAAGCGUUAUCCGGAGUUACUGGGCGUAAAGCGCGGGCAGGCGGUUCCGCAAGUUCGAUGUGAAAUCACUGGGCUUAACCCAGCGAGGCCAUUGGAAACUACGGAACUGGAGGGCAGCAGAGGUAGGCGGAAUUCCGGGUGGAGUGGUGAAAUGCGUAGAGAUCCGGAGGAACACCAGAGGCGAAGGCGGCCUACUGGGCUGCACCUGACGCUGAGCCGCGAAAGCCAGGGGAGCGAACGGG
rnacentral:rRNA from 1 species